AUUGAACGCUGGCGGCAUGCCUUACACAUGCAAGUCGAACGGCAGCACGGGAGCAAUCCUGGUGGCGAGUGGCGAACGGGUGAGUAAUGUAUCGGAACGUACCUUUCAGUGGGGGAUAACGUAGCGAAAGUUACGCUAAUACCGCAUAUUCUGUGAGCAGGAAAGCAGGGGAUCGGCAAGACCUUGCGCUGAUUGAGCGGCCGAUAUCAGAUUAGCUAGUUGGUGAGGUAAAGGCUCACCAAGGCGACGAUCUGUAGCGGGUCUGAGAGGAUGAUCCGCCACACUGGAACUGAGACACGGUCCAGACUCCUACGGGAGGCAGCAGUGGGGAAUUUUGGACAAUGGGCGCAAGCCUGAUCCAGCCAUGCCGCGUGAGUGAAGAAGGCCUUCGGUUG
rnacentral:rRNA from 1 species